rnacentral:rRNA from 1 species
GUUUGACCUCAAAUCAGGUAGGAGUACCCGC